GAUGAACGCUGGCGGCGUGCCUAAUACAUGCAAGUCGAGCGAACAGACGAGGAGCUUGCUCCUCUGACGUUAGCGGCGGACGGGUGAGUAACACGUGGAUAACCUACCUAUAAGUCUGGGAUCAUUUCGGGAAACCGGAGCUAAUCCCGGAUAAUCUAUUGAUCCGCAUGGUUCAAUAGUGAAAUACGGUUUUGCUGUCACUUAUCGAUGGAUCUGCGCCGGAUUAGCUAGUUGGUAAGUUCACGGCUUUCCAAGGCAACGAUGCGUAGCCGAACGGCUAGAGGGAUCGGCCACACUGGAGCGUGAACGGCGACCAGAGGCCUGAGGGAGGGCACAGAAGGGAAUCGUAGGCAAAAGGCGAGAGCCUGGCGGAGCAACGCGGCGUGAGUGAUGAAGGUGUUCGGAUCGUAAAGCUCCGUUAUUGGGGAAGAACAAAUGUGUAAGUAACUGUGCACGUCGUGACGGUACCUAAUCAGAAAGCCACGGCUAACUACGUG
rnacentral:rRNA from 1 species